rnacentral:rRNA from 1 species
CCUACGGGAGGCAGCAGUGGGGAAUUUUGGACAAUGGGGGCAACCCUGAUCCAGCCAUGCCGCGUGUCUGAAGAAGGCCUUCGGGUUGUAAAGGACUUUUGUUAGGGAGCAAGUCCUGCAGGUUAAGAGCUAGUAGGGAUGAGAGUACCUAAAGAAUAAGCACCGGCUAACUACGUGCCAGCAGCCGCGGUAAUACGUAGGGUGCAAGCGUUAAUCGGAAUUACUGGGCGUAAAGGGUGCGCAGGCGGUAUUGUAAGCCAGAUGUGAAAUCCCCGGGCUCAACCUGGGAACUGCGUUUGGAACUGCAAUGCUAGAGUGUGUCAGAGGGGGGUGGAAUUCCACGUGUAGCAGUGAAAUGCGUAGAGAUGUGGAGGAACACCGAUGGCGAAGGCAGCCCCCUGGGAUAACACUGACGCUCAGGCACGAAAGCGUGGGGAGCAAACAGGAUUAGAUACCCUGGUAGUCCACGCCCUAAACGAUGACAACUAGCCGUUGGGAACUUCGGUUCUUGGUGGCGUAGCUAACGCGAGAAGUUGUCCGCCUGGGGAGUACGGUCGCAAGAUUAAAACUCAAAUGAAUUGACGG